rnacentral:rRNA from 1 species
CCUACGGGUGGCAGCAGUGAGGAAUAUUGGUCAAUGGGCGCGAGCCUGAACCAGCCAAGUCGCGUGAGGGAAGACGGUCCUAUGGAUUGUAAACCUCUUUUGUCGGGGAGCAAAAGACGCCACGCGUGGCGUUCCGAGAGUCCCCGAAGAAAAAGCAUCGGCUAACUCCGUGCCAGCAGCCGCGGUACUACGGGGGAUGCGAGCGUUAUCCGGUUUUCUUGGGGUUAAGGGGUUCGCAGGCGGAAGUUCAAGUCAGCGGUAAAAUUGAGAGGCUCAACCUCUUCGAGCCGUUGAAACUGGUUUUCUUGAGUGAGCGAGAAGUAUGCGGAAUGCGGGGUGUAGCGGUGAAAUGCAUAGAUAUCACGCAGAACUCCGAUUGCGAAGGCAGCAUACCGGCGCUCAACUGACGCUCAUGCACGAAAGUGUGGGUAUCGAACAGGAUUAGAUACCCGGGUAGUC